GUGAAGUCAGCAAAAUCACUUCUUCUAUGAAGUAUGGUCAACCGUCCAAUAGAAUGCUAGCUCAUGCCACAUCAGCAAUAGUGUAUAAUGAGGGUGUAUGGUGAGUCCUUUAUUAAAACUUUUAGUUAUUGCAAAACAGUCCCCUAUAAACUUAAUAAUAAUUUUAUAGUUUACAAAUAAAAACAAGUUUUAUUUAUCAAUUAAACUGGAUUAAAAUUUACAAAAAAUAAGAAAGUUUUAAUAUAUAAACAAAUUAAUUUUGCAAUUGAAAACCCUAAAUUCCCAAAUCCAUCGUCUUCUUCAUUCUCAAACGUAUCCCUGCAUCUCCUCCAUCCAUCGAACUCUUCGUAUCUCAUCCAUCGUAACCUUCCCUGUCCAUCUACCCCAUCGUAUUGACGUACUCCAUCGUACUUGUCUUUCUCCCCCAUCUCCUCAGUCGUAUUCUUCUUUCUCCUGAAUCGCCUACCAUCGAUGGUAUUGUUCAUCUUCCCCUUCGAUUAGCAAAUUUGUGGUUGUGGUUUAUUUCGAGUCGUAUGGAAAUACAAAAAUGUUCGUCUUUCUCCGGUUCGAAACAAGGGUUCAGCGUCGUCGUGGAAUUUCACAGUUAGCAAUGAAAGCAAUGGGUCAACUGUGAUCUUUAUACAUAAAUCAUCUGAGUAGAGAAAUGAAACAGAGGAGCUAAACAAUUGACAAGUUUGAACUACAAUACAGCCAUUGCAAAAGGGCUUAAUCGUGUGAAUGGGGCACAAGACUUAGAAUAUGAAAUGGUUGACUGUAAAGUUAAGUUAAGUUAAGCUCAUCUAAUAAAACUUGCAUAGUAUGUUAUGCUUGAGUUGUAUAAUGUAAAAUAUUUUGUUACAAUACAGGGUUGUUUAAUGUAACUUAAGUGAUUAAACAAACAAUUAUUAUAAUCAAUAAUGUUACAAAAAUUAUUAUAAUUUGUGUUAUAUAUAUAAUGUAUUUGAUAUGUAAUUUGAGCCUACAUUUGACAUGCAUGAUGUUAUCAAAUGAAUACUUUUUAAUUUGUUUUAUUUGGAAAUAUCUAAUGGUGACACAACGGUAAAAUUGUGCGCUAUGUGUGUGUUGUUUAUAAUAUUCUAAGCAUCUGUUGGUUGAUAAUUGUGAGCAUGUGUUCAUAUAGUUGUAGUCACUUCUCAUUCUCAUUUUUUGAAUAAUGGCCAGCUAGAUUGAGGAUUCGAUGAAAACUUUAAUGUUAAUUGUGUUGUUUGAUACUAAGUUAAACUUGCAGAUAUUAACCAAAGUUUUGUUAUUAUUUGCAGCAUGGUGAUUUAGAGAUGGAUUCAAAAGAUGAAAGAGAAGAUGUAAAUGGUAAAGUUCGUUUUCAUUAGCCAAACAAAAGAGGGAAGGUUUGUUUGUAGUGUCUUCGUGGCUUAGGUGGAGAAGGCCUUCUCAUCUUUGUGGAAGAUUUGAAUCACAAUGGGGUGUAUUGUUAUGCAAAGCAAAAAAACGUGAAGGAUAUGUAGCAAUUUAAAGGCAAAUGAAAAGCUUGGAAGGUGGGGAGUUAAUGAAGCUAAAGGCUAAGGGCUUUGGAAGUUGGUUUACUUGGGGUGUGUACAACACUCAAGUGUAAAAUUCUCACGGUUAAAGAGGCCUAGAAUCCCAAAAGUUGUCAGUUUUUUGGUGUGCUCAAUGUAACCUAUUUUGGUUAAAAACAACAUGUAUUGUUGUGUUACAAAAAAAAAUACAUGAUUUUUUUUCGUUUUUAUUAAUUUGUUUAUUGUUGUUUUAUUUGUGUAUAUGUAUAAAUAAUGGA